rnacentral:rRNA from 1 species
UACGGAGGGUGCAAGCGUUAUCCGGAUUCACUGGGUUUAAAGGGUGCGUAGGAGGGCAGGGAAGUCAGUGGUGAAAUCUCCGGGCUUAACUCGGAAACUGCCGUUGAUACUCUCUGUCUUGAAUACCGUGGAGGUGAGCGGAAUAUGUCAUGUAGCGGUGAAAUGCUUAGAUAUGACAUAGAACACCAAUUGCGAAGGCAGCUGGCUACACGAAUAUUGACACUGAGGCUCGAAAGCGUGGGGAUCAAACAGG